GAUGAACGCUGGCGGCGUGCCUAAUACAUGCAAGUCGAGCGAACAGACGAGGAGCUUGCUCCUCUGACGUUAGCGGCGGACGGGUGAGUAACACGUGGAUAACCUACCUAUAAGACUGGGAUAACUUCGGGAAACCGGAGCUAAUACCGGAUAAUAUAUUGAACCGCAUGGUUCAAUAGUGAAAGACGGUUUUGCUGUCACUUAUAGAUGGAUCCGCGCCGCAUUAGCUAGUUGGUAAGGUAACGGCUUACCAAGGCAACGAUGCGUAGCCGACCUGAGAGGGUGAUCGGCCACACAGGAACUGAGACGCGGUCCAGACUCCGACGGGAGGCAGCAGUAGGGAAUCUUCCGCAAUGGGCGAAAGCUUGACGGAGCAACGCCGCGUGAGUGAUGAAGGUCUUCGGAUCGUAAAACUCUGUUAUUAGGGAAGAACAAAUGUGUAAGUAACUAUGCACGUCUUGACGGUACCUAAUCAGAAAGCCACGGCUAACUACGU
rnacentral:rRNA from 1 species